rnacentral:lncRNA from 1 species
GUUGGUCAUUUUACACAUAAUGCGAAAUUUACAGUAUUAGAGCAUCAAAGACACAAUGUGUGUGGUUCUAUUGAUAAAAUAAUGGUGUCAGAACACUCCUGGGGUGUUCUCAGUGGAAUUUUUGUAUUUAUGUAGCAUUUAUAGGGGUUCUAAGGGGGAAAUUCAGUUUUUAGGUAAUUUCUCAGAACAAUUUUUCAUGAAAAUUGUAAGCAAAAAAUUGAAAUAGAAAC